AAUAUUGCACAAUGGGCGAAAGCCUGAUGCAGCAACGCCGCGUGAGUGAUGAAGGCCUUCGGGUUGUAAAGCUCUUUGAGCAGGGAUGAUAAUUACAGUACCUGAAAAACAAGCCACUGCUAACUACGUGCCAGCAGCCGCGGUAACACGUAGGUGGCGGGCGUUGUCCGGAAUUACUGGGCGUAAAGGAUGCGUAGGUGGAAACUAAAGUGGGCUGUGAAAUCCGCGGGCUCAACCCGGGAACUACAUUCCAAACUGGGUAUCUAGAGUGCAGGAGAGGAAGCGGAAUUCAUAGUGUAGCGGUGAAAUGCGUAGAUAUUAGGAGGAACACCAGUGGCGAAGGCGGCUUUCUGGACUGUAACUGACACUGAGGCAUGAAAGCGUGGGUAGCAAACAG
rnacentral:rRNA from 1 species